rnacentral:rRNA from 1 species
CCUACGGGGGGCUGCAGUGAGGAAUAUUGGUCAAUGGGCGCGAGCCUGAACCAGCCAAGUAGCGUGAAGGAUGACUGCCCUACGGGUUGUAAACUUCUUUUAUAAAGGAAUAAAGUGAGGCACGUGUGCCUGUUUGUAUGUACUUUAUGAAUAAGGAUCGGCUAACUCCGUGCCAGCAGCCGCGGUAAUACGGAGGAUCCGAGCGUUAUCCGGAUUUAUUGGGUUUAAAGGGAGCGUAGAUGGGUUGUUAAGUCAGUUGUGAAAGUUUGCGGCUCAACCGUAAAAUUGCAAUUGAUACUGGCAGCCUUGAGGACAGGUGAGGUAGGCGGAAUUCGUGGUGUAGCGGUGAAAUGCUUAGAGAUCACGAAGAACUCCGAUUGCGAAGGCAGCUUACUAACCGGCCACUGACAUUGAUGCGCGAAAGUGUGGGUAUCAAACAGGAUUAGAUACCCCAGUAGUC